rnacentral:rRNA from 1 species
GUGGGGAAUCUUAGACAAUGGGGGCAACCCUGAUCUAGCCAUGCCGCGUGAGUGAUGAAGGCCUUAGGGUUGUAAAGCUCUUUCAGUGGGGAAGAUAAUGACGGUACCCACAGAAGAAGCCCCGGCUAACUCCGUGCCAGCAGCCGCGGUAAUACGGAGGGGGCUAGCGUUGUUCGGAAUUACUGGGCGUAAAGCGCACGUAGGCGGAUCGGAAAGUUGGGGGUGAAAUCCCAGGGCUAAACCCUGGAACUGCCUUCAAAACUAUCGGUCUGGAGUCCGAGAGAGGUGAGUGGAAUUCCGAGUGUAGAGGUGAAAUUCGUAGAUAUUCGGAGGAACACCAGUGGCGAAGGCGGCUCACUGGCUCGGUACUGACGCUGAGGUGCGAAAGCGUGGGGAGCAAACAGGAUUAGAAACCCCUGUAGUCC